rnacentral:rRNA from 1 species
GCGAGUGAAGCGGCAAUAGCUCAAAUUUGAAAUCUGGCACCUUCGGUGUCCGAGUUGUAAUUUGAAGAAGGUAUCUUUGGUUUUGGCUCUUGUCUAUGUUCCUUGGAACAGGACGUCACAGAGGGUGAGAAUCCCGUGCGAUGAGAUGCCCAAUUCCAUGUAAAGUUCCUUCGACGAGUCGAGUUGUUUGGGAAUGCAGCUCUAAGUGGGUGGUAAAUUCCAUCUAAAGCUAAAUAUUGGCGAGAGACCGAUAGCGAACAAGUACUGUGAAGGAAAGAUGAAAAGAACUUUGAAAAGAGAGUGAAAAAGUACGUGAAAUUGUUGAAAGGGAAGGGCUUGAGAUUAGACUUGGAAUUUUCCAUUUAUGGAGCUUUCCGGGCCAGCAUCAGUUUGGAUGGCAGGAUAAUUGCGUUGGAAAGUAGCACCACUUCGGUGGUGUGUUAUAGACUUCGUCGAUACUGCCUAUCUAGACUGAGGACCGCGUCUUUGACUAGGAUGCUGGCGUAAUGAUCUUAAGCCGCCC